UUACUGGGCGUAAAGCGCACGCAGGCGGUUUGUUAAGCUAGAUGUGAAAGCCCCGGGCUACAACCUGGGAUGGUCAUUUAGAACUGGCAGACUAGAGUCUUGGAGAGGGGAGUGGAAUUCCAGGUGUAGCGGUGAAAUGCGUAGAUAUCUGGAGGAACAUCAGUGGCGAAGGCAACUCCCUGGCCAAAGACUGACGCUCAUGUGCGAAAGUGUGGGUAGCGAACAGGAUUAGAUACCCUGGUAGUCCACACCGUAAACGCUGUCUACUAGCUGUGUGUGCCUUUAAGGCGUGCGUAGCGAAGCUAACGCGCUAAGUAGACCGCCGUGGGGAGUACGGCCGCAAAGGUUAAAACUCAAAUGAAUUGACGGGGGCCCGCACAAGCGGUGGAGCAUGUGGUUUAAUUCGAAGCAACGCGCAGAACCUUACCAACCCUUGACAUCCUAGGACCACCCGAGAGAUCGGGCUUUCACUUCGGUGACCUAGUGACAGGUGCUGCAUGGCU
rnacentral:rRNA from 1 species